GCCCACUCUCCCAUUGGCAGCAUCAGGCGUGGCAAAUAUAGAUUUCUUUGUGACACCUUUCAGCUUCUUUGUCUGAGGAAAGAAAGUGAGAAAAUGCUCAUAUUAAUACGCCUGUGAUUGGAAGUGUGUUCAUCCUGGAAUGCUCUGUGAUGUGCUGGCUACAUGACUACAAAACUGUUCAAGAUCUUGCAAGACUUACCAUUGUGAAUCUUCCGACCACACUGCCAUGCACUUGUCUCCAACCUUCCAUGCUCUCACGACUCCAGACUCUUUGCUGCUCCCCUCACUGGUCACACCUGCAGCUGCUGUUGAGGAACUUCCUGUGAAAAAAUAAGAACAUUAAAAUCUAUAAGACAUUAAUCUAUAAUUACAAGUUACUGAAAGUACUCAAGAUAUUUCAUCAUUGCUGAUAGUUCACUCUUGGCUUAGUGGCAGAAUCACACUUCUGACCAACAUCUUCUCUUAACCAAAUUCCUCCUAGGGUUAUGAGAAAGGUCUUAUUUUCCCAUCAAAAACUUGCUAUGACCAUUACAUAUAUGCCUGGCCAAGUAAUCCAAUUUGCGAGCACAUAUUGUCAGAUCCUGCCCAACCCUUGAAAGACUAAUAGGAGUGAGGGUUAAGUCCUGAAUCAUCUACGUUUGGCAUACCAGAAAAUAUAACAGAAGUGGAUGAUGUACAGACCUUGUGUUUCAAUUAAGUUCUCUGUGAGAGUGAUGACUUCCAACAGAUCUCCCUUGAGUUUGACCAGCUCAGCAUUUGUUGAGUCUGAGGUCAAGGCUGCCUCAACCUGCAAGAUAAAUAAAUCAUGUACAUUUGAUAAUAAAAGCUGAAAUAUAAAUAUAAAACAAACUUUCUUGAAAGUUCUAAUUACUUACACAAGAUAUAAGACAGUUUCUUAAUGAGGAGUUUUCACAACUAGUGGUUGUCACCAGGUGGCAGCACAGUAUGUGUCCCAUUCGCCCUAACAGGGAUAAUAUAGAACAUACCUGCAGUGUCAUUCUAUAAGCACAGAGAUGCAAUAAUUCGUUAUACAGUAAUAUAUUUUCUACAUAAUUCCUACGUAGUAACACAGACCUUAUUCAUGAACAAAUGUAUAUAAGUUGAUUUUCUUGUGAAUUGGCAUUGAGCCUUGUUUGGUCAUCUCCACAUUUCCGAAAUAGUACACCCUUAAUUGGAAAUGUAUUGAUCCAGUCGACAGUAAAUAUGAAAACAAUAUGUCAAUGUCACUAAAAAGAUCGGCUUACUAGAAUAUGGAAGCAACAAUUCUAAUUAAAAAUAGGCAACUUGUGUAUCCUGGCGAGAGUGUUGCUGUUUAACCCAAUCUAGGCUGGCCACCUGUUUAACUUAACAAACACAUUGUUGGACAAAUAGUUAAUUCCUGCUUUAAUGUCCAUGCCACUAUGCCAAGAGGAAAGCUUCACAUAUUUCUCUCUCCUCACUCUACAGCUGUCCAGUGAUAUGCAUAAUCUUUGCUCAACUGUUUUGCCACUUCUUGAACUUGAUAAAAGUGAUGCUAAAAUCCCCACGAAAAUAACUAUACACAUAUAUCACGAUGUCACUGAGUAAGCUGGAUCAUACUACCUAUAAAGUACAGUUAAAGAU